CUAGACAGGCAGGCCUUGAUCCUGCAAAACUUUAGUUAACAGCUAAACACCUAAACCAGCGGGCUUCUAUCCG
rnacentral:tRNA from 1 species